rnacentral:lncRNA from 1 species
UUUUUUUUUUUUUUUUUUUAGUAUGUCAGGAUCUGUCAAUCUAUAGUUGUUUCUUGAUUAAUGCACAUAACAUUUUAUGAUUUGGAUGUCACAGUCUUCAUUUAUUUUGGACAACGUUUGCUUCUCAUGUUCUGAGCUGAGCUAACCGUGCUUCACACUGGUGUUGCAGGAGGGGUUGGGGAGACCUUAUCCGUGUCAGGCAGUCAUUUUUUUUUUUUUUUUUUUUAACGUCACCAACAUUUUCCCCCAAACUGCCUAGGAGAAUUAAUUAUAUUAAUGCUUAGGCUUUGGAAAUGGCUAUUCCUGGUUAAUGCGCAUGCUUAUAUAAGGAUUAAAUCUAAAGAGCUUAAAAGUGUUCUAGUUCCAUAACUAACCAGCAGCUAUUAGACAAAAGGGAAGAUGCUACGUGCUUCCCAGAUGUUACUGAUUAAAAAAUCAAGUCUGCACAAAGGAGUGUAUAAUAACGGCUGCCAGUGAUUGUAUAUUUUGGAAAGAGUUGGUAUAAAAUGCUAAUUACUUUCUGAUAGGUUCCUAAACAGCCAUGCUGAUGUUUUUAAGGAAUUAUUUUUACUGUAUUUUGCUCUUCCUAAAAGACGUUGAAAAUGACUUCUUUUAAGCUGCAGUAGAGUACAGCAUCAGCCUGUGUGUUUCUAGGUCUUUUGCCAAGUGCUUUUUUUCACAGUUGAAAGCUAUCCUUCACUAGCAUAUUGAUAUUUUAUUUCUCUACCUAUUAGUAACCACUCCAGGGAUCAUGAUACAAGGGAAAAUGAAGUAAGGCAUUUUAUUGAACAUUAUUUUGACUUGCAAACUCUGCUACUAAAUAUUAACUUUGCCAAAAAGCAGUUCACUAUCAACUUCUUCAUAGAGAAAGUAGCUAGACUGUACCCUACAUAUUUAUUUAUUUAUUAUUCUACCAUAGUAAAAUAACCAAACGCCUGAUUCAUGAAGUUCAGUUCUUUGGAACUGAAAAUUAGCUUCUUCUUCUUUCCUUUAAUACUUCCUGUAAAUAUCAGGUCAGCAUCCCCACUAAAAGGAAGCUGGACUUGUAUGCCAUACAAGUGGAUCAUAUUAUGUUUUCUCCAUAUCUUAUAUGUGUUGCUACAUAUCCGAAUAAAGUGGGAUAAAGAAUUUAAAGUAGUAUUCCUAUGGCAUUAGUGUUUUUGUGAGAAGGCCAGAUGUAGUGAAAGAAGUUUGUUGAUGGCAUUAAUAAGAAAGGCCCUCCUAAUAUGUAUAUUACCUUGUAAACAUUUCAUGGAAGGGCUAAAAGUUAAAUUAUAACUAAAUCACUGUGUUUUCAGAAUGAUAUUUAACAUUUAACAACAACAAACCCGUGGUCAAACCAAAAGUGUGGGUUGAAGUGUAUUUUUCAUCUUCUAGCGCAUUGGCAAUUGCUAAAAAAAAUAAUAAUAAUAAUAAUAAGUAGAUAAAUAAGGAAUUUAAUAUAAGGAUAUAGAGAUAAAUUCAAUGUCUAACAUUUUUUAUUUAUUUAAAUAGUUAUUGACCUAUGAUGACUUCCUAGUCUUAACAUUUUAUGUCUUUUUUGUUGUUAAUGUUCUUCCUUUCAGACACUUGGUUCUUAAUAGGUUCGCUGAUUGCACACAGUAGAGGCACUUCAUGUUGACCCAGUUCCCAAGUAGCAUUAAUAAUUGGGCCUGUGUCAUAAAAUGCAUGGAUCUUUAAUAGCUAAAUGACCCUGACACCUUUCACUACAGGGCUGGCUUAUUAGUAACUGACCAACUUGGGGGGGUGGGGGGGGCACUAAAGAACACGGUCAAAAAAUGUCUCCGCUCAGGGAUUUAUGGUGGAUUAUUGCAGACAGUGCUAAAAAUAUAGAGCACAAGACAAGUUUACUAAAUUAAAGUUUUAUUUUUUGAGAAACUGUUAUUUGUAUAAAUUAUCAAGAUUUGUAGGCUUUCCUUUUGUAGAAAUAAUUGUUUUAUGUGCCAGAGAAUUUCAAUUUUGUUUUCAACAAUAAAGCAUUGAUAACAAA